rnacentral:lncRNA from 1 species
CUCUCCGAGUUUCCUGCUUCUCAGACUCGAGGCUAAGCUGCCGCAUUACCGGCCUUCGGAUUUAAUUUCGGACUUCCCCGACUCGCUCCCCGCUCGCUCCCCCCUCCCUGCGGCCGCUGCCCAACAGCCGCCGGCGGCAGGUGCGCGCGGCGCCGCUCCGUGCCGCGUGAGUCGAGCCUGAGGUGCGUGAGGCGCGACAGGGAGCUGCCCCGCGCCUCUCCUGGGUGAGCAGCUGCGGGGGGACAGGACUGGUCAAGUGCCUGAAUUGGAUUACCAUCUGGAACAUAAGCAUGCAGUGUCCAGAUCUCACCUUGAUGACAGGUGGUACAUGCUUCCCACUUUGAGAUUUUUCUAUCCCAUCUGUGGAAAAGGUAUCACCGGCUGUAUUCUCAAGGGACUAGGUAAGCACAUAUAAAAUAAUUCAGCAAUUAGAUACAAAACUGCUGUCUCGAGAUGGAAGUGAAUCUAAUAGAAAAGUAGUCUUAGUUAAAUAAUAGAGAUGUGUAGCCACUUCCUCAAAAUAUGUAUUGUUGAAAUUGCUGUACAUACUUGAUCAGUAAAAAAGUGCAACAUGUGCUAACUUAACAGCAGUGCUGAUGCAAAACAUAUCAGAAAGUAGGUCUCUUA